AAAUUGAUGUUAAUGCUUAACUUGUUUGACUGUCAAAAGUCAAAAUUGAUCUAGUCUGUUAACUAACUUGCUAUUCCUGAUUGUUAAUUUCUCUAGGGUGACAAUUGUCUUGGAAGUGGAGCAACUAGUCAAGUAGGUGAGAUAGGGCUUAUUAAUCAUCCCCCAAAAGAACCAGUGCCUUUACCUGAACCCGAACCUAAACCUGUUAUUGAAAGUACCGGGUUAAUCACUUGUAAAUCUAUGAUAAGUGAAGACUCUAUAUUAUCAAGAGAUGAAGAAUGUCCUAUAUGCUUUGAAGGAUAUACCGAUGAAAACCCGAGGAUUAUAACUAAAUGCUCACACCAUUUUCAUCUUGGUUGUAUAUAUGAUUGGCAAGAGAGAAGUGCAUUAUGUCCUAGUUGUUUAAAGGUGAUGGAGUUCCAGGAGUUGAACUGAUUGUGAAAUUUCUUUUCUCGUUGACUAUUUAGUCAACCGUAGAUUGACCAAGAAAUCAGGACAUAGUCUAGUUUUUAUCAAGUAAAGAUUGUUUUUGUUUUCUUUCAUAUUAUUUUUAUGAAAGGUUUUAACUAGCAGUCUU